rnacentral:rRNA from 1 species
CGGGACGGGUGAGUAACGCGUGGGUAACCUGCCCUGUACAGGGGGAUAACAGUUAGAAAUGACUGCUAACACCGCAUAAGCGCACGGUAAGGCAUCUUAGUGUGUGAAAAUAUUCAUAGGUACAGGAUGGGCCCGCGUCUGAUUAGCCAGUUGGCAGGGUAACGGCCUACCAAAGCGACGAUCAGUAGCCGGCUUGAGAGAGUGAGCGGCCACAUUGGGACUGAGACACGGCCCAAACUCCUACGGAAGGCAGCAG